CUAGGUGAGCCAGGCGUUGGUUGUCCUGGUACUUGCAUGUAGGGGGGAAGACUUGGCAAAUCCGGUUUUCCAUAACUCUGAGGUGCGAAGUGGUUCUGACCUUUUGGUACAGAGAAGUCAUUGAUGCCCGGCUUCCAGGAAAAGCUGCUAGCCAUAACUUAUAGAGAACCGUACCGCAAACCGACACAGGUGGACAGGUAGAGAAUACUAAGGCGCUUGAGAGAACUCGGGUGAAGGAACUAGGCAAAAUGGUACCGUAACUUCGGGAGAAGGUACGCCCUUUUGGGUGAGGGCAUUUACUGUCUGAGCUUAAGAGGGCCGCAGAGACCAGGUGGCUGCGACUGUUUAUUAAAAACACAGCACUCUGCAAAUUCGUAAGAAGACGUAUAGGGUGUGACGCCUGCCCGGUGCCGGAAGGUUAAUUGAUGGGGUUAUCUUCGGAGAAGCUCUUGAUCGAAGCCCCGGUAAACGGCGGCCGUAACUAUAACGGUCCUAAGGUAGCGAAAUUCCUUGUCGGGUAAGUUCCGACCUGCACGAAUGGCGUAACGAUGGCCACACUGUCUCCACCCGAGACUCAGUGAAAUUGAAAUCGCUGUGAAGAUGCAGUGUACCCGCGGCUAGACGGAAAGACCCCGUGAACCUUUACUAUAGUUUUGCACUGGACUUUGAUGAUGACUGUGUAGGAUAGGUGGGAGGCUGUGAAGUGAGGACGCUAGUUCUCAUGGAGCCGCCCUUGAAAUACCACCCUGUUGUUAUUGAGGUUCUAACUUGGUCCAGUAAUCCUGGAUGAGGACAGUGUAUGAUGGGUAGUUUGACUGGGGCGGUCUCCUCCCAAAGAGUAACGGAGGAGCACAAAGGUACCCUCGGUACGGUCGGACAUCGUACCAAGAGUGUAAAGGCAAAAGGGUGCUUGACUGCGAGAGUGACGGCUCGAGCAGGAACGAAAGUUGGUCUUAGUGAUCCGGUGGUUCUGAAUGGAAGGGCCAUCGCUCAACGGAUAAAAGGUACUCCGGGGAUAACAGGCUGAUACCGCCCAAGAGUUCAUAUCGACGGCGGUGUUUGGCACCUCGAUGUCGGCUCAUCACAUCCUGGGGCUGAAGCAGGUCCCAAGGGUAUGGCUGUUCGCCAUUUAAAGUGGUACGCGAGCUGGGUUUAGAACGUCGUGAGACAGUUCGGUCCCUAUCUGCCGUGGGCGUAGGAAAAUUGAGAGGAGCUGCUCCUAGUACGAGAGGACCGGAGUGGACGAACCUCUGGUGCACCGGUUGUCACGCCAGUGGCAUGGCCGGGUAGCUAAGUUCGGACGGGAUAACCGCUGAAAGCAUCUAAGCGGGAAGCCUCCCUCAAGAUGAGUUUUCCCAUGAAGCCCGUUGAAGACUACGACGUUGAUAGGCAAGGUGUGGAAGCGCAGUAAUGCGUGAAGCUAACUUGUACUAAUUGGCUGAUUGUCUUGACCAUAUAAUCUGAG
rnacentral:rRNA from 1 species